UCCGAGUUGACCCCGGCAGUCUCCUAUGAGUCCCCACCAUAACGUGCUGGCAACAUAGGGCGAGGGUUGCGCUCGUUGCGGGACUUAACCCAACAUCUCACGACACGAGCCGACGACAGCCAUGCAGCACCUGUGUCGGCUCCCCUCACGGGGUCAGGCCCCUUUCGGUUUCUUACCACCGACAUGUCAAACCCAGGUAAGGUUUUUCGCGUUGCGUCGAAUUGAACCACAUGCUCCACCGCUUGUGCGGGUCCCCGUCAAUUCCUUUGAGUUUCGGUCUUGCGACCGUACUCCCCAGGCGGAGUGUUUCACGCGUUAGCUGGGCCCCUGAUCCACGUAGACCAAGGGCGAACACUCAUCGUUUACGGCAUGGACUAC
rnacentral:misc_RNA from 1 species